CGCCAUUUAGUAAUUAGGUGGCGAGCGGAGCGGAGCGAGUCACCGUGCCCGAAGCGUGGCGAGCAAACCGAGCCCGCAAGGGUACUUUUCGGGUACCUUGUUCGGCCGUAGCUCCUCCCCCUGGUGACGGGUCUCCUCCCCUAGAUUACCACGGUUACCGCUGUGACCAUGCAAGUUGAUGAGGUCACUACAGAGCGCCGGGAGUAGAUAACAACAUUGAUGCGGCAAGUUGGCCCGGCAAUGCUGGACAGGUCGUCAAGGUUACUUGUGACCUGACUGACCAGGGACGGUGCCGAAUGAUGACGCUAGUGCUCAAUGCAAGUGACCAGUACACCCGGCGUGGUGGGACUGAUCGGUGGUGUGGACAGUUGAGUGUAAUCAGCGGUAGGGGGGAGGUGUCAGUGGGGUAUAUAUGUCUCACAGUAUGUUAUACACGAUUGAUCCCUGAUGACGGGCACCAUGCCCGAAACAUAUGUAGGAUUUAAUCUUAAUAAAUUCAAGUACUUUUUCAAGUCUU